rnacentral:rRNA from 1 species
GACGAACGCUGGCGGCGUGCUUAACACAUGCAAGUCGAACGGAAAGGCCCUGCUUUUGUGGGGUGCUCGAGUUGCGAACGGGUGAGUAACACGUGAGUAACCUGCCCUUGACUUUGGGAUAACUUCAGGAAACUGGGGCUAAUACCGGAUAGGAGCUCCUGCUGCAUGGUGGGGGUUGGAAAGUUUCGGCGGUUGGGGAUGGACUCGCGGCUUAUCAGCUUGUUGGUGGGGUAGUGGCUUACCAAGGCUUUGACGGGUAGCCGGCCUGAGAGGGUGACCGGCCACAUUGGGACUGAGGUACGGCCCGGACUCCUACGGGAGGCAGCAGUGGGGAAUAUUGCACAAUGGGCGGAAGCCUGAUGCAGCAACGCCGCGUGCGGGAUGACGGCCUUCGGGUUGUAAACCGCUUUCGCCUGUGACGAAGCGUGAGUGACGGUAAUGGGUAAAGAAGCACCGGCUAACUACGUG